rnacentral:rRNA from 1 species
UACAGAGGGUGCGAGCGUUGUUCGGAAUUACUGGGCUUAAAGGGUGCGUAGGCGGUUUUGUAAGUCAGGGGUGAAAGUCAACGGCCCAACCGUUGAAUUGCCUUUGAUACUGCGAAACUUGAGUGUGCUAGGGGGAAGCGGAACGUUUGGUGUAGCGGUGAAAUGCGUAGAUAUCAAACGGAAGGCCAGAGCCGAAGGGGGCUUCCUGGGGCACAACUGACGCUGAGGCACGAAAGCGUGGGGAGCAAACAGG